rnacentral:rRNA from 1 species
GAUGAACGCUGACAGAAUGCUUAACACAUGCAAGUCUACUUGAACUUCGGUUUGGGUGGCGGUCGGGCGAGUCACGCGUAAAGAACUUGCCCCACAGAUAGGGACAACAUUUGGAAACGAAUGCUAAUACCUGAUAUUAUGAUUUUAGGGCAUCCUAGAAUUAUGACAGCUAUCUGCACUGUGAGAGGGCUUUGCGUCCCAUUAGCUAGUUGGAGUGGUAACGGCUCACAAUGGCGAUGAUGGGUAGCCGGCCUGGGAGGGUGAUCGGCCACAAAGGGACGGGGACACGGCCCGUACGCCAACGGGAGGCAGGAGUGGAGAAUAUUGGACAAUGGACCAAGAGUGUGAUGAAGCACUUCUGUGUGCACGAUGAAGUUUUUCGGGAUGUAAAGAGCUUUCAGUUAGGAAGAAAAAAAUGACGGUACCAACAGAAAAAGUGACGGCUAAAUACGUG